rnacentral:rRNA from 1 species
AGAGUUUGAUCCUGGCUCAGGAUGAACGCUGGCGGCAUGCCUAAUACAUGCAAGUCGAACGAGAGGAAGGAAAGCUUGCUUUCCUAAAUCUAGUGGCGAACGGGUGAGUAACACGUAGGUAACCUGCCCAUGUGCCCGGGAUAACUUCUGGAAACGGAUGCUAAAACCGGAUAGGUAGCAGACAAGCAUUUGACUGCUAUUAAAGUGGCUAAGGCCAUGAACAUGGAUGGACCUGCGGUGCAUUAGCUAGUUGGUGAGGUAACGGCCCACCAAGGCGACGAUGCAUAGCCGGCCUGAGAGGGCGGACGGCCACAUUGGGACUGAGACACGGCCCAAACUCCUACGGGAGGCAGCAGUAGGGAAUUUUCGUCAAUGGGGGGAACCCUGAACGAGCAAUGCCGCGUGAGUGAGGAAGGUCUUCGGAUCGUAAAGCUCUGUUGUAAGAGAAAAACGGCACUCAUAGGGAAUGAUGAGUGAGUGAUGGUAUCUUACCAGAAAGUCACGGCUAACUACGUGCCAGCAGCCGCGGUAAUACGUAGGUGGCGAGCGUUAUCCGGAAUUAUUGGGCGUAAAGAGGGAGCAGGCGGCACUAAGGGUCUGUGGUGAAAGAUCGAAGCUUAACUUCGGUAAGCCAUGGAAACCGUAGAGCUAGAGUGUGUGAGAGGAUCGUGGAAUUCCAUGUGUAGCGGUGAAAUGCGUAGAUAUAUGGAGGAACACCAGUGGCGAAGGCGACGAUCUGGCGCAUAACUGACGCUCAGUCCCGAAAGCGUGGGGAGCAAAUAGGAUUAGAUACCCUAGUAGUCCACGCCGUAAACGAUGAGUACUAAGUGUUGGGAGUCAAAUCUCAGUGCUGCAGUUAACGCAAUAAGUACUCCGCCUGAGUAGUACGUUCGCAAGAAUGAAACUCAAAGGAAUUGACGGGGGCCCGCACAAGCGGUGGAGCAUGUGGUUUAAUUCGAAGCAACGCGAAGAACCUUACCAAGUCUUGACAUCCUUCUGACCGGUACUUAACCGUACCUUCUCUUCGGAGCAGGAGUGACAGGUGGUGCAUGGUUGUCGUCAGCUCGUGUCGUGAGAUGUUGGGUUAAGUCCCGCAACGAGCGCAACCCCUGUUGCCAGUUGCCAGCAUUAAGUUGGGGACUCUGGCGAGACUGCCGGUGACAAGCCGGAGGAAGGCGGGGAUGACGUCAAAUCAUCAUGCCCCUUAUGACCUGGGCUACACACGUGCUACAAUGGACAGAGCAGAGGGAAGCGAAGCCGCGAGGUGGAGCGAAACCCAGAAAACUGUUCUCAGUUCGGACUGCAGUCUGCAACUCGACUGCACGAAGAUGGAAUCGCUAGUAAUCGCGAAUCAGCAUGUCGCGGUGAAUACGUUCUCGGGCCUUGUACACACCGCCCGUCACACCAUGAGAGUCGGUAACACCCGAAGCCGGUGGCCUAACCGCAAGGAAGGAGCUGUCUAAGGUGGGACUGAUGAUUGGGGUGAAGUCGUAACAAGGUAUCCCUACGGGAACGUGGGGAUG